GUCGUUACCUGGUGCCGGGCUUACCGGUGACCGUAAAGCACAGGGUCCCGUGUUGAGGCCUACCAUUGCACUGCGGUUGGCUGAAGCACGCCACUAUCCGAAUCCAGGAUAGGUGGGGCAUGUAAUUUUUGGUAGUGGGGCUUGGCAUACGCGCCAGCCCGUA